GACGAACGCUGGCGGCGUGCUUAACACAUGCAAGUCGAACGAUGAAGUUCCUUCGGGAAUGGAUUAGUGGCGAACGGGUGAGAAACACGUGAGAAACCUGCCUUUCAUUUUGGGAUAACUCCGGGAAACCGGAGCUAACACCGAAUGCUCCGUCUCGGCGGCAUCGCUGAGCCGGGAAAAAAUUAUGAUGAAAGAUGGUCUCGCGGCCUAUCAGCUAGUUGGUGAGGUAAUGGCUCACCAAGGCGACGACGGGUAGCCGGCCUGAGAGGGCGACCGGCCACACUGGGACUGAGACACGGCCCAGACUCCUACGGGAGGCAGCAGUGGAGAAUAUUGGGCAAUGGGCGCAAGCCUGACCCAGCGACGCCGCGUGAGGGAUGAAGGCCUUCGGGUUGUAAACCUCUUUCAGUAGGGAAGAAGCGAAAGUGACGGUACCUAAAGAAGAAGCACCGGCUAACUAUGUGCCAGCCGCCGCCGUAA
rnacentral:rRNA from 1 species